CAUGGCUCCUUUUAGUUGAUCAAAGAGAUCAUCUAUUCUUGGUGGGCUGCUAUCCUGGUUUUCCUGUAAAUCAAUAGAUAGAGGGAAAAUUAGGCCCCAUACUAAGGACUAUCACAUGACAACAUUAAACACUCUUCAGUUCUCAAACUACCUGCUGAUGUGAUACUUCUUCACUUUCUGUAGUUACAUUUUCUUCACCCAUGUUUGUUGUAGCAGCAACCUCUGCAAUUUGUCCCCC
rnacentral:lncRNA from 1 species